CCUGUUCCUAGAGGCAUUGCAGGUGUGGCUGCUAUGUCACAUGUGUGCCAGUAGGUGGCAGAGAGGAGAGAGGCUACGUCUAUGCUCAGCGUUCUCACGUAAGAACAUCUGAAUGCUUGGUAGCCUAACACU